ACAUAUAGGUUGUAGGGAACGUAGAAAAGGGAACCCGGACCCUUCCGGGGAGGCUAUACAGGUGUUGCAUGGCUGUCGUCAGCUCGUGUCGUGAGAUGUUCGGUUAAGUCCGCUAACGAGCGCAACCCUCGUCGUAUGUUAUAUGUGUCAUACGAGACUGCCGGUAAAAAGCCGGAGGAAGGUGAGGAUGAUGUCAAGUCAGCAUGACCUUUAUAUCCAGGGCUACACACACGCUACAAUGGUCUGUACAAUGGGUAGCCAAGCCGCGAGGCGGAGCCAAUCCUGAAAGGCAGGCCUCAGUUCAGAUUGCAGUCUGCAACUCGACUGCAUGAAGCCGGAGUUGCUAGUAGCCGCAGGUCAGCAAUACUGCGGUGAAUACGUUCCCGGGUCUU
rnacentral:rRNA from 1 species